rnacentral:rRNA from 1 species
CCUACGGGUGGGCAGCAGUGAGGAAUAUUGGUCAAUGGGCGGAAGCCUGAACCAGCCAAGUAGCGUGCAGGAUGACGGCCCUACGGGUUGUAAACUGCUUUUAUACGGGAAUAACGCUCCUUACGUGUAGGUCUUUGCAUGUACCGUCUGACUAAGGACCGGCUAAUUCCGUGCCAGCAGCCGCGGUAAUUCGGAGGGUCCGGGCGUUAUCCGGACUUAUUGGGUGUAAAGGGAGCGUAGGCCGCCUGUCAAGCGUGCUGUGAAAUGUCCGGGCUCAACCCGGGCCUUGCAGCGCGUACUGGCGUGCUUGAGUCCGCGGAAGGCGGGCAGAAUUCGUCGUGUAGCGGUGAAAUGCUUAGAUAUGACGAAGAACCCCGAUUGCGAAGGCAGCUUGCUGCAGCGGAACUGACGCUGAUGCUCGAAAGCGCGGGUAUCGAACAGGAUUAGAUACCCUAGUAGUC